rnacentral:rRNA from 1 species
AACGAACGCUGGCGGCAUGCCUAACACAUGCAAGUCGAACGAAGGCUUCGGCCUUAGUGGCGCACGGGUGCGUAACGCGUGGGAAUCUGCCCUUUGGUUCGGAAUAACAGCUGGAAACGGCUGCUAAUACCGGAUGAUGACGAAAGUCCAAAGAUUUAUCGCCAGAGGAUGAGCCCGCGUUGGAUUAGGUAGUUGGUGGGGUAAAGGCCUACCAAGCCGACGAUCCAUAGCAGGUCUGAGAGGAUGAUCAGCCACACUGGGACUGAGACACGGCCCAGACUCCUACGGGAGGCAGCAGUGGGGAAUAUUGGACAAUGGGCGCAAGCCUGAUCCAGCAAUGCCGCGUGAGUGAUGAAGGCCCUAGGGUUGUAAAGCUCUUUUACCCGGGAAGAUAAUGACUGUACCGGGAGAAUAAGCCCCGGCUAACUCCGUG